GGAGCCGGCCAGGCAGUCGCUCGCCGCAUGGCGGCGGGAGGAAAGUCCGGGCUCCGGCGGACAGGGUGCCAGGUAACGCCUGGGGGGCGCGAGCCCACGGAAAGUGCCACAGAAAACAGACCGCCGGCGCCGCUGUGCGGCGCAGGCAAGGGUGAAAAGGUGCGGUAAGAGCGCACCGCGCGGGUGGUAACACGCCGCGGCACGGUAAACCCCACCCGGAGCAAGACCAAAUAGGGGAGCAGGCGACGGGCGCGAGCCCGGCGCACCGGUGUCCGCCCGGGCUCCCGGGUAGGUCGCAAGAGGCCGCCGGCGACGGUGGUCCCAGAUGAAUGGCUGCCCCCGACAGAACCCGGCUUAUCGGCCGGCUCCAUUU
rnacentral:RNase_P_RNA from 1 species